rnacentral:rRNA from 1 species
GACGAACGCUGGCGGCGUGCCUAAUACAUGCAAGUUGAGCGAUGAAGAUUGGUGCUUGCACCAAUUUGAAGAGCAGCGAACGGGUGAGUAACGCGUGGGGAAUCUGCCUUUGAGCGGGGGACAACAUUUGGAAACGAAUGCUAAUACCGCAUAAUAACUUUAAACAUAAGUUUUAAGUUUGAAAGAUGCAAUUGCAUCACUCAAAGAUGAUCCCGCGUUGUAUUAGCUAGUUGGUGAGGUAAAGGCUCACCAAGGCGAUGAUACAUAGCCGACCUGAGAGGGUGAUAGGCCACAUUGGGACUGAGACACGGCCCAAACUCCUACGGGAGGCAGCAGUAGGGAAUCUUAGGCAAUGGACGAAAGUAUGACCGAGCAACGCCGCGUGAGUGAAGAAGGUUUUCGGAUCGUAAAACUCUGUUGGUAGAGAAGAACGUGGGUGAGAGUGGAAAGCUCAUCAAGUGACGGUAACUACCCAGAAAGGGACGGCUAACUACGUG